rnacentral:rRNA from 1 species
UCAGGACGAACGCUGGCGGCGUGCUUAACACAUGCCAGUCGAACGAGAGGAGAAGGAAGCUUGCUUCUUUCAAAUCUAGUGGCAAACGGGUGAGUAACACGUAAACAACCUGCCUUCAGGAUGGGGACAACAGACGGAAACGACUGCUAAUACCGAAUACGUUCCUUAGGUCGCAUGACUUUAGGAAGAAAGGGUGGCCUCUACUUGUAAGCUAUCGCCUGAAGAGGGGUUUGCGUCUAAUUAGGUAGUUGGUGAGGUAACGGCCCACCAAGCCGACGAUCAGUAGCCGGUCUGAGAGGAUGAACGGCACACUGGAACUGAGACACGGUCCAGACUCCUACGGGAGGCAGCAGUGGGGAAUCUUCCGCAAUGGGCGAAAGCCUGACGGAGCAACGCCGCGUGAGUGAUGACGGCCUUCGGGUUGUAAAGCUCUGUGAUCGGGGACGAACGGUCGGCAGACCAAUACUCUGCUGAAGUGACGGUACCCGAAUAGCAAGCCACGGCUAACUACGUGCCAGCAGCCGCGGUAAUACGUAGGUGGCAAGCGUUGUCCGGAAUUAUUGGGCGUAAAGCGCGCGCAG